UACUCUGUGAUUCAUAAAUUUAUCAAGAAUGAGUGAAUAAAAACAAAAUUUAAACUCAAGUAUACAGUAAUUACUUUUUAUUGAGCUCCAAAUAUUUUGGCUUAUAUUCACUCUCGGAUGAGGGCUAAGACAUCGGAUUUUUUGAAAGUUUUAAACAGAGCCCGACCGGAGCCAAAAACAAUAGAGAAAAAGACAAUAACAGGAAGGACAUUUAUAAGAAAUUGAAAGAAUUUAACGAGUUGUGGAAAUUACAGUUAACAAUUGUAAAGAACAAUUCUUACGGAUUUGUAAAGUAAAUAAGAAA